CUUAAAGUAAGUUAAUACAAAACUUUUGAAUUUUUACUUCAAAUAUACUCAAGAAAGUCUUUAAGA
rnacentral:tRNA from 1 species